GCAAAUAAGUAAAUGUAUUGUAUAUAUAAACAAAAAUAAUAGUACAAAAUACAAAAUGUUCAAACAACCAGCAGAAGCUACAAAGACAACAGAAGAAGUGUACAGAUAACUCUGCUGAAAAGAAACUAAGAGGAGAGAGAUAUAAAAACCAGAGAGAAAAAAGACCAGCAGCUCCAAGAACCAGAAAAACCACCAAAACAACUAGGCUAGAGCCAGAAAAAGGAAUCACUAUC
rnacentral:lncRNA from 1 species